GAUAAACGCUGGCGGCGUGCCUAACACAUGCAAGUCGAACGAUCCCGCAAGGGAGAGUGGCGGAAGGGUGAGUAACACGUGGGAAUCUACCUCCUCGCAGGGAACAACCUCUCGAAAGAGAGGCUAAUACCCAAAAGGGUCAGAAAUGAUCAGAGUCGAAAGGCGUGAGGAGAGGAGCCCGCGGCCCAUCAGCUAGUUGGUGAGGUAAUGGCUUACCAAGGCUACGACGGGUAGGGGAUCUGAGAGGAUGUCCCCCACACUGGAACUGAAACACGGUCCAGACGCCUACGGGUGGCAGCAGUGAGGAAUAUUGGACAAUGGGCGAAAGCCCGAUCCAGCAACGCCGCGUGGAGGAUGAAGGCCUUCGGGUCGUAAACUUCUUUAGAGGGAGACGAGAAAGGACGGUAUCCCUAGAAUAAGCGACGGCAAACUACGUGCCAGCAGCCGC
rnacentral:rRNA from 1 species